rnacentral:rRNA from 1 species
UACGUAGGGGGCAAGCGUUGUCCGGAUUCAUUGGGCGUAAAGAGCGUGUAGGCGGCCAGGUAGGUCGGUUGUGAAAACUGGAGGCUCAACCUUCAGAGGUCGACCGAAACCAUCUGGCUAGAGUCCGGGAGAGGAGAGUGGAAUUCCUGGUGUAGCGGUGAAAUGCGCAGAUAUCAGGAAGAACACACGUGACGAAAGCGGCUCUCUGGAACGGUACUGACGCUGAGACGCGAAAGCGUGGGGAGCGAACAGG